rnacentral:tRNA from 1 species
CGGCGUAGCUCAGUGGCAGAGCGAGAGAUUCAUAAACUCUAGGCCGCAGGUUCGAUCCCUGCCGUCGGC